rnacentral:tRNA from 16 species
GGCGUGGCGCAUCGGUUAGAGCGUUGGACUCUAAAUCCGAUGGUCCCAGGAUCGAAACCAUGCUCU